UCUACGGGGGCUGCCUUCUCACUUUCAGAGAUACAGUUCCUGCCCACUGGCCAUCUGUGCCACGUGCUGUGGAAAGGGGGAAUGUUCCUGAAGCUAGUGAGCCCAACCAGAAGCAAAUGCUCAAAAGCAGAAAGCAAUGUCUGACCCCAAAUGUCCAUCAACUGAUGAACGAAUAAAAAAAAGCUGGUCCAUCCAUACAAUGGAAUAUUAUCAAGCCAUAAAAACGAAUGACAUUCUGAUGCUACUACCUGGAUGGACCUUGAGAACAUGAUGCAAAGCGAAAGAAGACACUCACAAGAGGCCACAUACUGUAUGAUUGUGUUCACAGGAAACAUCCAGAAUAGGCAAAUCCACAGAGAUGGGAAGCAGGCCGUCCUGGGUCCCGUCCUCCAUGUGAUGCAGCCUGAACAGCGAAAGGAGGAGCACAGGGACCGGUGCAAUUUUCUCCUAAAGCAUCUCUGAGCUACCCCAGCUGUCGGUUCUGAGGGAGAAGCUUGGUGGCGGAGUAAUCAAUAAGCCAGAUAAGGCCUGUGCAACAGGGAGUUUAAAGGAGCUUCCCAGCCUCUUGGACGAGAGCCUGCCUGCUCAGACGUCCUGAACCGUGAGUGUCCUGUGGUCGGCGCACGGGGGAGGAACAGAGCGCAGCCCCUCAGCCGCAGCCCCGGGAGCAAACGUGCUGCGGGAUUUACCCUGUCUCGGGGCUCAGAAGGGUGUUGGAGGGCAUCUACUUCCUACCGUGCAACCAUCACAGCACGUCCCGGGGAGCCAAACACAUUAAUAUUUUGGCACAAUUAAAGAUAAUAUUUAGCUUCAGUUAAGUCCAGCACGGAUUUUGACCAAAUAUGUUGAGAAAAACUCUGUUUUCUGAGAUUUUUUGAUAUUGGAACUGAGGCUAAGGGAUUGUGGGCCUGUUUUCUCUUAGGAAUGCCCUUUGGUGCUCUGCAGGGGUGCUGCUGG